GGGGAGGAGAGGGGGGGGCGGAGAUGGUGUAGGGACUGGGUUCGGCGGCGGAUCCUAGUGAGGUUCCUCUGGUUAAACAUAUAUCUGGCCUACAACUACAAGUGACUUCCUCCCCACUUUCUUUAUUAUCCCUCUUUUCUCUUUUAAGAGUUAUUGUUAUUAGCUUUAGCUUUUGUUUUCUCUUGUCAUCCUUUUCAUUUAGUGGAACGACAUUGUUUCCCAUUUGUUUUCUUUCAAGUGCUGCAGUUGUGGAUGUGGUAGCAAUUAAUUCAUCGGAAUUUCA